UGACUACACUCAUGUUUCCUCACUAUCAGAGCAAUGGAAGUUGACAUGCUAUAAACAUGAACAACCUCUCCCUUUCCCCAAGAGCCUUCUUUCUGCUUUUCACAUUUUGAAAGAGACAGACUGAAGCCACUUUAAGUGUCUCCUUUUUGGUGGCACCAUCUACUUCCUUUCCAAAGGGCAACCAGCCCAAAGAUGAGUCAUCUGAAAAGACUGCUGAGAGAAGGGGAAAUAGGAUAGGAGAAUUUAUGAGAAAUGGACCAGAGCACCAAGCCAGAAUAAGAUUCCUACAGCAAACGGGAGAUCUUGAGAGCUUCCAAUGAGUAGCAGCUUAAAAAACAACAAUCUUCAGCACACUGAAAACCUACAACCACAGCCGGUACAAGCAAUGAAAACUCUUCUCCAGUCCUGCAUUCUACCUGACUGA
rnacentral:lncRNA from 1 species